AUAGAAUUCGGCCGAUUUCGAAUACCUACGCAAACGGCAGAAGACACAGAACCUUCUGGAUUCCAGAUCUCCUCGAAACCCUAACCCCUCGAACUUCUAGAACCUCCAUGGACGGCCUCGCGGCGCCCUCACCCUCCCACUCCGGCGCCACGUCGGGCGGCGGCGCCUCCCACCGCAAGCGGAAGCUUCCGCCACCAUCCCUCUCUGACGCCACCGCCGACGAGGACGACGACACCACGGCGCCGUCGUCCCCCGCCACCUCCCUAUCCUCGCCUUCCCGCCCGUCGUCUCCGUCCUCCUCCCAUUCUGACGAGGAUGACGACGACUCCCUUACCACCUUCACCGCCGCUCGCCUCGAUGCCGCACCUGCAUCCUCAUCCGGCAGGCCUCCGAAGCCCGACUCGUCGUCCGCAUCUGCCGUCACAGCGGCGGCUCCUAAGCCCGAUGCCGCGUCCGCGGCGGCUGGAGACGGGAAGGAGGACUCCAAGGGGCUGUUCACGGACAAUAUCCAGACUAGUGGCGCUUACAGCGCCCGCGAGGAGGGUCUCAAGCGUGAGGAAGAUACAGGGAAGCUGAAAUUUCUCUGUUAUUCUAACGAUGGAGUCGACGAACAUAUGAUCUGGUUGGUAGGUUUGAAGAAUAUCUUUGCACGGCAGCUCCCUAAUAUGCCCAAGGAGUAUAUAGUCCGACUUGUUAUGGAUAGAACUCACAAGUCAAUGAUGGUUAUCAGGAAUAAUAAUGUUGUAGGAGGCAUUACUUACCGCCCUUAUGCAAGCCAGAGGUUCGGAGAAAUAGCAUUUUGUGCAAUUACAGCUGAUGAACAAGUUAAAGGCUACGGAACAAGGCUAAUGAAUCAUCUGAAGCAACAUGCCCGAGAUGCUGAUGGCCUCACUCAUUUCUUAACUUAUGCAGAUAACAAUGCUGUUGGUUAUUUUGUAAAGCAGGGUUUCACAAAGGAGAUCACAUUCGACAAAGAAAGAUGGCAGGGGUACAUCAAGGACUAUGAUGGAGGAAUACUGAUGGAGUGCAAAAUUGAUCAAAAGCUUCCGUAUGUUGAUCUAGCAACAAUGAUUCGGCGCCAAAGACAGGCAAUUGAUGAGAAGAUCAGAGAGCUUUCUAACUGUCAUAUUGUUUAUUCAGGAAUUGAUUUUCAAAAGAAAGAAGCUGGUAUUCCAAGAAGACUGAUGAAACCAGAAGAUAUCCCUGGGUUGAGGGAAGCUGGGUGGACUCCUGACCAGUGGGGGCAUUCCAAAUCACGUUCAACAUUUUCCUCGGAUUAUAACACUUACAGACAGCAGCUUACUAGCCUUAUGCGGAUGUUGUUGAAGAGUUUGGUCGAUCAUGCCGAUGCUUGGCCAUUCAAAGAGCCGGUGGAUUCACGUGAUGUUCCAGAUUAUUAUGAUAUUAUCAAAGAUCCUAUUGGUGAGCUUAAAUGAUUUAUUGGCUCUAUUUUCUUGUGUCAUCCACCAUCUGAAAGAUCUGUAUCGUGCUAGUUUAAGUUGAUCAGCUGCUGAGCACAAGCUUGCCUGCAGAUUUGAAGACAAUGUCCAGAAGAGUUGAGUCGGAGCAGUAUUAUGUGACCUUAGAGAUGUUUGUAGCCGACUUAAAGAGAAUGUUCAUUAAUGCGAGAACCUACAACUCUCCUGAUACGAUCUAUUUCAAAUGCUCCACACGGCUCGAGGCCUACUUCACAAAUAGAAUCCAAUCUCACCUUGCCCAGGCUGCGUCAACCAAGAACUAGACUGAUGUUGGGCGCAUUGGGUAGUCACUUGUUAUGCCGUCCAGCAAUUUUUUACUAUUAAUGCAGCAUUGUCUCACGAUUUUACUUGGUCAAAGUCCAAAUUAUCACUCUUUAGGCUCAUGGAAUACUAGUUGUCUGAGAGAAGCUAAUGUUGUUGUGCAUGAUUAGCGAAAAUAGCUGGAUCGUCGUUUUGUGAGGAGUGGACUGAAGAUGCCUAAUGAGCUACUUCCUCUAUUGAUCAAAGGUGUAAACCUGGUUACUACUCCCUCCGUCUCAUAAUGUAAGACGUUUCUGGAUAUCAGUGUAUGUCUUACAUUAUGGGACAGAGGGCGUAGUUAAUAAAGAGGAAAUAAAGUUAUCAAAAAAAGAAAAAAGUCUUCCUCCUCACCAAAAUAAUUCUUGAUUUUUUUGUUUGAAGC
rnacentral:rRNA from 1 species